rnacentral:rRNA from 1 species
AUUGAACGCUAGCGGCAUGCCUUACACAUGCAAGUCGAACGGCGUGGCGAACGGGUGAGUAAUGUAUCGGAACGUGCCCAGUAGCGGGGGAUAACUACGAGAAAGCGUAACUAAUACCGCAUACUAUUGGAGCGGCCGAUAUCGGAUUGGCUAGAUGGUGGGGUAAGGGCUCACCAAGGCGACGAUCCGUAGCUGGUGUGAGAGGACGACCAGCCACACUGGGACUGAGACACGGCCCAGACUCCUACGGGAGGCAGCAGUGGGGAAUUUUGGACAAUGGGGGCAACCCUGAUCCAGCCAUCCCGCGUGUGCGAUGAAGGCCUUCGGGUUGUAAAGCACUUUUGGCAGGAAGGCGGUACCUGCAGAAGAAGCACCGGCUAACUACGUGCCAGCCGCCGCGGUAAUAC